GCCUAGGUGGCUCAGUUGGUUAAGCAACUGCCUUCAGUUCAGGUCCUGAUCCUGGGGUCCUGGGAUCGAGCCCCAGCUUGGGCU
rnacentral:tRNA from 1 species